GCCCCCGUAGCUCAGAUGGAUAGAGCAGCGGUUUCCUAAACCGUUGGUCGCACGUUCGAAUCGUGUCGGGGGCA
rnacentral:tRNA from 3 species